AGUUUGAUUAGUGGGAUAUCUUCCAUGUAAGACGUAUCCGGCUGGUUAAUGUUACAGUUUGUUAGUGGUUGGUUUCUGUGUGAAUGUCUGUAAUCUGACAGCUGUGCCAGGCUGGAGCAAUGCUGUGUUGUGCAAGCUUGUAAAGUGUUACAAGAGCGACAGCCUCCUGGGAGGUCAGAGGCAAGGCUUGAUUUUUACACAUUG